UACGAAGGGGACUAGCGUUGUUCGGAAUUACUGGGCGUAAAGCGCACGUAGGCGGAUUUGUAAGUCAGGGGUGAAAUCCCGGGGCUCAACCUCGGAACUGCCUUUGAUACUGCAAAUCUCGAGUCCGAUAGAGGUGGGUGGAAUUCCUAGUGUAGAGGUGAAAUUCGUAGAUAUUAGGAAGAACACCGGUGGCGAAGGCGGCCCACUGGAUCGGUACUGACGCUGAGGUGCGAAAGCUAGGGGAGCGAACGGG
rnacentral:rRNA from 1 species